ensembl:lncRNA POLR1HASP POLR1H antisense, pseudogene
UAAUUAAUUGCGAACCGUGUCUCGGGAGCGUUAGAGAUGGAGACUAACGUCUUCCAAGGGAGAUUGCGUCUCUACUUUCACCCUGGUACUGAGAGGUUGAGCACAAAAUUGGUAACCAAUGCUGCGCUUCCAGCAAAUUUUCCCACCAGCACCCAAUCCUGGGAUAUUUAUUCUCUUUGUCUCACAUCCUACAGGAACGCAGUCGCGGGGUAUAUCCCCCUGAAAACCGUACGUUGCCAAAUAAUGAUUUCUUUGGAUUAGAGAACUACAACUCCCCUGGGUCCUGAGCCGGUAUUUCCCUUUUGCGGCUGCACCGUAGUUAAAAACAAAGCUAAGUGUUCUGGGACGUAUAGUUCUAGCGUUCCUUGGGUCCCGCUGGCGAGCGUGGGCUUUCUGCAGCUCGCAACCGGCCUCAUGCUUUGCGGACGGUUCACUGCGCUUGGAAAGGGAUUGGCCUGGGGUACAUCAUCUAAAGAUCCUAGGAUUGCUGCAGGUCAGCAGUCUCCACUGGAAAAAAAGAUCUUGAAUCUAGGUGGUGUGCAUACAACAGCAGCAAGACAGUUGAUAAUGCAGAAAUAUCAGGAGGAGUGUGAAAUACUCUGUAGGGAGCAAGCUGUUUCUCUUGACUACUGGCUUGCCAAAGCAGAGUCUUAUUAUAAUAAAAUAAUAGUGGAAAUGAUGAAAGAAGAGACAGGCAAUGAAAUCUAGAAAAAAAUGGAGGAGAAAACAACCCAGAGCGUAGAAGGACUAAAACAGUACUGUUUGGUACCUGAGAGAGAGAUGAAACACAUAGAAAGGCACAUACAUCAAACAGGAAAGGCUGGAGAAUUUAAGAACAAACCAUUUAGACAAGUACUACAACCCCCCAAUGAAACAAAAUUACCAAAAAUUAUGCCAGAAGGGCAUGGCAUCCAGAACGCACAGAGAAGAAAGCAGGUAAAUGAGAGGGAACAGAUGCAGACUAAGGAUCACCAGGAACGCAUGAUUCGAGGGAGAGAACUUGCAGAACAAAGACUCAAGGAGAGAAUCUUGAGAAGAAGCCAGAGCCAGCUACUUACAUAUGAGAAGCAUGAGAGAGUAAAAGAGAUAAAGGAGUUUGAAAGAGUUAUUGCGUAUCUUCUUUUCCAACCAUGCAGUAGAAGUCGGAUUAAACAUGUAUUUCAAGUCCUCUGAUGAAUCAUGUGAUCUACUAGACCCUGAAGAUACAGUGAAGAGCAAAAGUAAGAUGCUGGCAAUUUGAUGUUUGCACUGUCAUGAAGGAGAUGCACAUUUAGCAGAACUUACAAAGAGAAAUAUAAAAUUACUGCUGAGCUAAGUGUGGUGAAGAAAAGUUCAUGGUACCAUGAAAGCAGAUAACCAGGAGAUCUAACAGGUCCACUACCACUAUUCUCAAUAAUACCUAAAAGAAAUAAUAAGAUAUGGCAUUUAUAAAUGAUGAAUAGGAUUUUAUAAAAUUAUAUACAAUCAGAGAACCAAAAAGCACUCUUGGAAAUCAAAAAGUGAUCAUUUAAAUAAGUAUUUCAAUAGAUCACUUGGAAGAGUAAAUUUGUACUACCACUAAAUAUUAAAAAUGGAAAAACAAUGUCAAGAAAGACAGAAAAACUAUACGAAUACUAGGCUAUCAGUCAAGGAUUUCCUGCAACUUAAUAAUACAAAUUCUAAAAGAAUGGAAAGAUAGAAAUUAUUUAAAAUAAAAAAAUUUCUCC